GAGUUUGAUCUUGGCUCAGAUUGAACGCUGGCGGCAGGCCUAACACAUGCAAGUCGAGCGGUAGAGAGAAGCUUGCUUCUCUUGAGAGCGGCGGACGGGUGAGUAAUGCCUAGGAAUCUGCCUGGUAGUGGGGGAUAACGCUCGGAAACGGACGCUAAUACCGCAUACGUCCUACGGGAGAAAGCAGGGGACCUUCGGGCCUUGCGCUAUCAGAUGAGCCUAGGUCGGAUUAGCUAGUUGGUGAGGUAAUGGCUCACCAAGGCGACGAUCCGUAACUGGUCUGAGAGGAUGAUCAGUCACACUGGAACUGAGACACGGUCCAGACUCCUACGGGAGGCAGCAGUGGGGAAUAUUGGACAAUGGGCGAAAGCCUGAUCCAGCCAUGCCGCGUGUGUGAAGAAGGUCUUCGGAUUGUAAAGCACUUUAAGUUGGGAGGAAGGGCAGUAAAUUAAUAACUUUGCUGUUUUGACGUUACCGACAGAAUAAGCACCGGCUAACUCUGU
rnacentral:rRNA from 1 species